UUUUAUAUAACAGUUCUUCUUAUUGAUCGUUGUAAGACUUUAUAACCUUAAUUUCAUAAUAUGAUGAUGAUGUUGAUGAUAUGGUCAAUUUUUUUUAUUACAGUUUAGGUAAGCUAUACUAUUAUUUAAUAGUAUUCAUUAAAUCCUACUAGCUGAAGAAUGAUGUUUACAGUAUAUAUACUAGCUGAAGAAUGAUGUUUAAAUGGAAAUUUUAAUUAAAAAUUGAGAUAUAAGCAUGGGAACAAGAAGGGUCAAUUGAUAAGGUUUAAUACAUGUUGAGAUACUUAGGAUGAAUUAUAAAUAAAUACUGGAAGCCUGCUAGUGAUGAUGUAAAGAGAACUUGAAUGGAAAAUCUUGAAAGUUCUUUUUAGCAAUUAAUGCAAAGAUUGAUUGAUUGAUGCCAAAAGAAAUGGUAUUGCUGUACUUCAAAUUCAAUCAUAAAUUCAGGAAGUAAGUAAGUCCCAACUCCCAACCAUUGCAUCCCUCUAAAGUCUUAUUCAUUCAAUUUAAAUCUUUAAGCCUUACAUUCAUCAUAUUCUUUCCCAUCUAUAAAUUUAUCGUUUAGUAUUUCACUUUAUUUUAAGUUAUUUCUCUCAGUUUACCUCUAUUUGAUCAUAUCGAGACUGUUUUCAAGCAAAUAUCUUAUAGUUUAGUUUGAAAUCCUAACUAAGUACAUUGCUACUAUUAUUGUUCAUUUAAAAAAUCAUUUGAUUAGCUGAAAACCUGAUAAAAAAUGUAACACAACAAUAUAAUGGAAGCUAAAAAUUUGAUUGAGAACUUUGUUUGUUUAUGUUACAAGGGUUAGUUUGGGGAUAUUAACAUAUAGAGUUAUAGAACAGCCUGAAUGUAGGAUUUUGUAGUAUUUUUUAUGUUGUUAUUUAAUGCAUAAAUUAUUUGCAGGGAGAUAUGAUGACUAUGGCUUUCUAAAAACAUUACUAUUUCCAAGAGAAAAUCAACCAAAGAAGGAUUGAUCUGUUGAUUUGAUUUAUUUGUGUUGCUUUAGUUAUGAGUUUUAAUUGAUUGAUUGAUCAUUGAUCUGGUUUUGCUAUGUAGGUAUGAUGUGGUGUAAACAGCAACAUAAAUUAAAAAUUAGAAUUGAAGUAAGAUAUUAGAUACUACAAAACUGCUUAAUUGAUAUUAUUUAAUCUUUUCUUUUUUUAAAAGUUGUUUAACAUUUACUUUCUAACAGGGAUAGAAGAUAUGCAGGUGUUAUUUUUUGUCCAUUGUACUUUUAUGACGACCCUUUGAAAAUCUAAUCUCUUAUAUCUAUAUCUUUUUCACAUUCAGACAUUUUACUUUUAAUAUUUUUCCUAUUAAGACAUUAUACUUUAAAAAUCUAACUAGUUUUAGCAUUAUACUUUCCUCUGUAUUUUCCUAUUAAUUUGAUUUCAGUUUUGGGAGAGACAUCAUCUGAUUAGGAUGAACUGAAGAGUAUUUUGGCCGGAUUUUAAAACUUGGUAUUUUCUUCAAUUCAAUUGAGUUAUGAUAAUAUUACGAUUAUAAAUUUAGCAAGGUGGAAUCUAGGUUUACCCUGUUUGUUUACUCAUUUUAACAACUCAUAAUCAGCCACAGUUAUGUAUUCCUACCUUUUUAAUUAUUAUCAUCAUCUUUCAAAUCCUUUUUUGAUGGAAUAAUUAAUUGGAGCAGUUGAGAGAACCUACAAAUCUGGAAAAAAGCAAAAUGACUUUCCAUAUCCAAUGCCAUUGCCAAG
rnacentral:lncRNA from 1 species